AGAGGAGGCAAGAGAGGAAGGAAAAUAGGGGACACAACUGGUCUCUUCAUUGCUUUUCUUUAUUUCUGUUUUCAAUAGAGCUAUAAAUGUCACUUCCCUCCUAAUGUAUCUGGAGAGUGAAGUGCUGCUGCUACUGAAAAGGCUCAUAUGAUUCCAGCAAUGCUGUGUAGGAGGGGCUCUGGGUCUUCUCCAACGAAGACAGGUUAUAACAGAUGGCCUUUUUACCUAACCUGAGCGAGCCACUGUACUGACAGUGACUGGAGGUAUUGCAUCUACCUCAUCACUCCUCUUGCAUCUGUCCCACCAAGGACAUGUGGCUCUGCAGUCCCUUGGCCUCCUCCUUUUGCCCUGGAGUGGGCUUGGGUGGCAAGAAAGCUGUGUGGCACCUCCAAGCCAUGCCCAUGGGAAUGGAAAGCUGCUAUUCGAUCAUCGUUUGGAGGGAUGCAUCUUACCCAACCAGCUGAAUGUGCAGUUGGAAUAGGUUAAUGGACAUGGUUACCCUGCAAAUUCCAGGAGCACAGAAAGGCUGGCAGGAACAGAGAGCUUUGAGCAGAGUUCUCUGAAUGCAGUAGGGCUGUGAAGUCUGUGCUAAGAUGCCGCCUGAUCCAGCUCAGAUGAAAAUGGUUGAUGUAACAAAUCGCCAGCCGGAAUGCUUCACGUUUCCAGUGCCUGUUUGGUGACUGGCAUCCACACCGAGCAGCUGCCCCAGGUGCUUCCACUUUGAAGAUGAUCAGUUCCAGACCCUCGCUUUCAUCUUGGUCGCAUAUCCAAUUGAAAGGACCUUGACGUAACAGUGUCUGUUUCACAUUUAAAAGAGAACUGCUUAAAAGCUGUUUAAAUAAUUUGUAUGUGCAUCCAA
rnacentral:lncRNA from 7 species